GGGUGGGACUGUCUAUUUACUGUCGGAUAUGGGAUAGAUAAUUUCAGCAUCUAAUCACUUUACCAUCUCUUUCUUCACUACUUUCUGCAUGUUUGGGUUCAGUCUCCUCUGCAUGUCUCGAUGGGGUUUGGCAUCUGCCUCGUAAUGAAUGUGGUACAUACAGAUGGAGGGGCCAAUUGCUUUUAGAUCGGCAAUGGAUCAGUCGAUAGCCUCUUUAUUUUGCUUCAGAAUACCAACCAAUUAUGCUUCUUAAUCUAGGGUCAAGUCUGAUGCAAUG
rnacentral:lncRNA from 1 species